rnacentral:rRNA from 1 species
GCAGUCGACGGAAGUCGUUACGAAAUGGAAUGAAGAUUUAUCUGAUUGAAGUUUUGUAACAAUGGCUUUAGUGGCGGACUGGUGAGUAACACGUAAGCAAUCUACCUAUUAGAGGGGAAUAACAAUGAGAAAUCAUUGCUAAUACCGCAUAAGCUUGUAGUACCGCAUGGUACAGCAAGAAAAGGAGCAAUCCGCUAAUAGAUGAGCUUGCGGCUGAUUAGCUAGUUGGUGUGGUAACGGCAUACCAAGGCAACGAUCAGUAGCCGGGCUGAGAGGCUCUUCGGCCACAUUGGGACUGAGAUACGGCCCAGACUCCUACGGGAGGCAGCAGUCGGGAAUUUUGCGCAAUGGAGGAAACUCUGACGCAGUGACGCCGCGUAUAGGAAGAAGGUUUUCGGAUUGUAAACUAUUUUAGUCAGGGAAGAAAAAUGACAGUACCUGAAGAAUAAGCUCCGGCUAACUACGUGCCAGCAGCCGCGGUAAUACGUAGGGAGCAAGCGUUAUCCGGAUUUAUUGGGUGUAAAGGGUGCGUAGACGGGAAGACAAGUUGGUUGUGAAAGCCCUCGGCUCAACUGAGGAACUGCAACCAAAACUAUCAUUCUUGAGUGCGGGAGAGGAAAGUGGAAUUCCUAGUGUAGCGGUGAAAUGCGUAGAUAUUAGGAGGAACACCAGUGGCGAAGGCGACUUUCUGGACCGUAACUGACGUUGA